CCCCCUCACCGCGCAUACUGCCACAGCCACUCGCAGCUCCCAUGGCCCACCUCCCUCUCCUCCAGGCUGGUGCCCCCGGGGUCUUUCUGAGCACAUCAGAUCAUCUUGCUCAGAAUUGCCCUGGCUACCGCCUCUAGUUUAAUGCCCAACGGCCUUGGUAGGAUAUUCGGUGCCACACACCCUCCAGUCUCCCCUCUAAUCCCUAACCCACCUGCCUCCCCGCCUAGGGGCCCUGCUCUCUGCAGGCUCUACUGUGUCCUGGGCCCUCAGCUGCGAGACCAACCCGUCCUUCCAGGAAAAUGCAAGCCUUCCCAGGCGGGGUUACGCUCCCGCCCUCCACCUUGUAAUUAUUACCUGACCCUCUGUCUCCUGCAACGCCAGGGCUAGAGGACAGGCUGGCCCUUAUUCCUAUGGACACUGGCCAACAUCCAACGCCUGGGACAUAAACUGCACCCAAUGGGAUGUGAACUGCACUUUACAGUUUGCACGGUGUGUUCUGGUAUUUGCUCAAUCUUCACACACACUCAGGUGGCAGUACGUUUUAAUGAUGCAGGCGAGGGAACUGGGGCUCAGAAAGGUCUAGUGCCUUCAAGAGGUAGAACCGGUGCCCGGGCUCCGGGCUGUCUAAGCGGAGAGCCUGCAGGACUCGGAAUCCUGAGGACCUGAGUUUAAGCCCGCUCAGCCAGGGACUGGGUGAGGCAUCGCAGGCAAGUGACUUCACCUCCCUGCGCCGGUGCCCUAGUCUUUACCGAAGACAGCAAUUCCAAUCCGGGACUGUGGUGAGGUUUAAAUAAAACAAUGCCCAGUAAGUGGCCAGCAGGCCUGGCUCGCAGCCGGAACUAUAAAUGCGAGUUCCCUUUCUGACCCCAGCUUGGCAAAGGCUUCUCCUGUUUGGGCAGCAGCUCCUCCUCUUCUGAACUCCCGAGGCCACAGGGGUGCCAACUGUGGAGCGCCCGCCGUGCCAUUUUGACGCGAGAGCUGUGUCUGGUACCAGCGAUCCUUAAAGGAGCUCGGGGACC
rnacentral:lncRNA from 1 species